CAUAAAAGUCGUGUCACACUGGACACGCCUGAUCUUGGAAACUAGGCAGGAUUGGGCCUGUUAAGUCCUUGGAUGGGAGUUUUCCUGAGACCACUAGGUGCUGUAAGGU
rnacentral:rRNA from 1 species